rnacentral:lncRNA from 1 species
CUGUAGCUACAGACCCUGCCACAGUGAGAUGGUCGUGAGGCUGAGUUGGUCCUCAUAGCUGCCUUCUUCCACUCUCUAGUCCAUGUUCCCCUCACCCUUUGCCAACAUGUUAGCCAGAGGAAAUUCUUUACUCAGUGGAAUGAACCAAACCUUCAUUUCCACAGGAUUCAAGCCAUAAGUGGUCCUGUCUUUAUUGCUUUGCUAUAGUUUUACGUUGAUAGUUAUUAGGUAUGGGAGUAUUAAGAGGUACCCUAGUGUAUCCACUGGGAAUAAGCAUAGGUCUUCUUGCCCCUGUUGGUAGCAGCAACCUAAUUUCCAUGCAGGAUUAAUCACCCUAGCCAAUAGUGUAAUAAACUCCUUAUCUGCCAUUGGCUCAGUAGUACUAAGAGUCCAAAAUGACCAGUGGAAAGUCUCAGCUUCCAAAUUACAAGAACCAAUGUAAUGUCUGUGUUCCCUGAAGGAAGCGUUUCUCCCUUCGAAAUAGGACUUCCAAACCUACCGAACCCAGAGUUGCAGGGACAAAAAGGAAAAAAAACAUAUGAGUUAUUAAGUAGAAAUGUGAGAAAGAUCACUCCCACUCCCACCCUGGAUGCAGACGGCACUGUAUACUGGUGACUUGUUUAAGGCAUAUGCCACAUCUUUUGGCAUCACCUCAAAACUUGUCUUAUUUUUGUUUUCUUUUUGUGGAAACAGGGUCUCACUAUGUUGCCCAGGCUGUUCUCAAAUUCCUGGCCUCCAGCUGUUUUCCUGCCUUUGCCUCCCUAAGUGUUGGGAUUACAGUUUCAUAUAAUUAUCUACAGAAAGAAAUAGUCUUAGAGAUCUUCAAUAAAGUUAAAAAAG